CCCAGCACUUAGUACCGUUGGUUAAAAAAAAUAGUUGGUUGACAUAAUCCCUGCCUUCCAGCAGCUAACAACCAAGUAGCCCCCCGUCAGCCUUGGCCAGUGGCCACCCACCCCAGCUGAGAGAGCCGUGGAAGGGAGCAGAGAUGAGGGGAAAGGCUGGAAAGAACCAACGAAAAAACAGGUAUCCUCAGCCUCUGUGGGGAUGUAAAUUCCCACUCUGUCCAUUUCGGAUGGCAUUCAGAUUGAAGGCAUCGAGCCUUGGCCGACAUCCCCAGGUAUCCGAACAGCUUCUGCCCCUGACCAACUUCUCUGGAAUCGUGCCCCAAGGCUGAGCACGGGACUCUUCUCCAGAAUGAAAGACAAACCUAAUUAAAUCUCAAUUACAGUGAAAACUCAAGUGAUCUGGAAGCCCGGAGGCCAGUUUGGGUAGCAGCCCACAUUCAGCAACUGAGUUUUAUCUCAGUCCUCCCCUGUUUCACAGCACCCCAGGGGAUACCACAGGCCCCCGAGUGCCCUAUCGGGGUUCACCUUAUUCCCCCAGAGACCUGGGGUCCUCAGAGGAGAAGCAGUGCUGCUAAAUCGGCACCGUUUGUUACUCGGGACAGCGUCUUCUUCCGUGUGGAGGAAGAGGAGGGGGAAGGAUAGUAGAAGCCCUCGUAGUAUUGAGUGCUUACCCUGUGCAAGGCACUGUACUAGGCCCUGGGAAAGAAGUAGAUGGACGAAGUAUAGAUUCAGUCCCUAGACCCUGAGGACUCCCUAUCCAAGAAUAAGCAGGGGAAGGGGUUAGGAACAGACACUCCCAAAGAUGAUUAAAAAUAUAAGACAAGGACGCCGGGAAGCAUGAAAAGAGAAGCAAGAUUUUAGGCUUUUCCUGGCUCAGACCGAGAGACACAAAAGUGCUCCCCGAGACUGUGAACCUUUUCGAAGUUCUCAAAGUUAAAUCAGGACUACUAGGUUUUCUAGGUACCCAGAGUCCAGAGGCAGCAUUUUUCCUGUAACCAGGUAGCCGUGGCUGAAUUAAAGGAGAAACUGAUUACACCUUGACACCAUUUUCAGAGUGGAGUAGCUUCCGAUCCACGGAACUGCAUGGGGAAAAGACAGUCUUCACGCUGUAAUCUGAAAUUACCCAUUCUUCGGUGAUGGAGAAACUGGGUUUGUUUGUGUAGGGAGGGAUAAAGUAAUAUUGUAUUCGUCUAGCCAACAGAUCAUUUUUGAGCUGCUCAUAUCAUCGCUGAUUGAAUGAAUGAAUCGCUGUGUCGUCUGGGGAGUGUGCUUCCAAACACAGUUACCAGCCUGAAGGAACGCUUAAAUUGUGAAAUCAAGCUACCUGGAGGAAGCGGCUGCCGGGACUUGUGACAACUGUGAAAACUUAACGACAACGGCCUUUUUACAGACAGUUUGCAGAAGGAUAUCACGGUUAUGUAAACCUUGUCUGGGUAGCAAGUCUUCUGGCCGUGAACAUUUCACUAGUCUGGAAAAAAACCAUUAAAAGAUUAUUCUGGAA